GGGGGCGUACUGGUUUCGACAGGGGUGGGUGUGGCAUAGGUAGCGAGCCGGGGUUCCAUCUGCCCGUUGAGACGGUGGGAAAUUGUAAACGCAAACGAAGAUUACGCUUUAGCUGCAUAGCUAACGUUCUACCCACGCUCGCCCGUGGCCUGGGAUAGGACGUCAUUUAGCGGGAUACCUGAAGCCCAAUUCUCGGAGGGCCGACUGGGAAACUUUAUCGAGAUAGCGCCAGAGAAGCCUGUCAGGGGGCGUCAACGGGGCGAAAUCUAAAGCACUGACUGCGCUCGGAGAGACUUAUGUAGCAACGCCUUUGGACAGGAGUUCGAUUCUCCUCGCCUCCACCA
rnacentral:tmRNA from 1 species